UACGGGGGGGGCAAGCGUUGUUCGGAAUUACUGGGCGUAAAGGGCUCGUAGGUGGCCAACUAAGUCACACGUGAAAUCCCUCGGCUCAACCGGGGAACUGCGUGUGAUACUGGAUGGCUUGAGUUUGGGAGAGGGAUGCGGAAUUCCAGGUGUAGCGGUGAAAUGCGUAGAUAUCUGGAGGAACACCGGUGGCGAAGGCGGCAUCCUGGACCAAUACUGACGCUGAGGAGCGAAAGCCAGGGGAGCAAACGGG
rnacentral:rRNA from 1 species